CACACACACACACACACACACACUGCACAGGGAGAGGCUUGGUUUGGUUUUGGAAAACUAUCUCUUUCAUUUGUACCUAAUAGAAAAGUUGACAAAUUGGUGAAUUAUGCAAUAUCUCUCUUUAGCGUUUUACCUGAACAUUUUAAACACACAGCAAAGCUUUGAAGAAUUUCAAUGCUUGACGUUUAAGGGCUCCAGAGGACAGGAUGCACACACAGCCGCUGCAGGUCGGGUUUUCUAUAGUUUCUUAUUUAAUAUAAACCAUCGUUUAACAUUAUUGAGUUCAUCAGAAGUUUGAAUAAUAUAUUAACUAAGAGAGACUAAGGUUAUUUUUAUUUUAUUUUUUUAAAAGAGGACAAGAGAACAGACAAUUUAGGAAAGCGACUAUUUGGUACCGUGAGUGUUCUCAGGCCAGUUACCAACAAAGAAAACUCAAACUCAGCCCGUCCAGAAAAAUCCCUUUCACUUCUACACGCUCUCCACUUCAGGCCGCCGAACGCAGAAUCAGAAAUUACGACGACGUUAAGACGCCCAAUCACCUGGCAGCUGUUUGGGUCGACUGAAAGGGAACUGAUUGAUGUGCUUCAUCUGUAGGGAUGUUUGAGCUUCCAUGCGGUGAGUCAAAUGUAUUUAUGUGAGCUGCAAACACCUGGGCUGCCGACAGCUGCACAGGUGAUGAGUUAUGUUUUAGUCUGAGAAGGACUUUCUUUACCUGGCUCACCGCAGGACUUGAGGUCGUGAUUGCAGUCAAAUAUGCUUCGGAAAGUUAUUUUUUUAUUUUCAUUGAAAUUGCAAAAGAAGAGUUGUAUGUAGAUUUCUGUAAAAUUAACUGAAUAUAUCUUUUCAAUAAGAGAGUAACAUUACCAAAUGUGGAAGGAUUGUGCUAUAAAGACUUCAGGCGCUGCAUCUAUCCCUGCUCUGAUCCUGCAGUGAAAAUGCAUUAAAGCAGCUGCGUCUGCAAAUUUUUCAGUUGAAGACAGAUGAAAACUUGAUUUAUUAUGAAUUUAAAUGUCAGCUAUUCCUAUGAGGUCGUCACUGUCAGGAACUUUUUGCGAUUCUAAACAUCUGUUACCGAUGUUGAUCAGAGACGAGCCGUCAUGGAGGAACUGUGUGCCUCUCUCCUCUCUGUAAUCACUGAUAAUAAUAACAGUUGAGUGGAACUCACUGCCAUGUUGGAUUAAAGGUAAAGACAGGUGCAGGAAAUUAUGUAUUUGCAGUUAAUACCUACAACCAGUAAGCCACGAAAGUAACUAUAAGAGUUCAAAUCUGGAAGAUGAGUUUCUGAAAAACAAAUCAUUUUGACCAACAGCGGUUUUAGUAUUGUUGAAUAGAAAAAAUCAUAAUAAAACUUUAGAAUUGAAAUGAAAAAAAACAAAAACAAAGCGAAACCACACUAGGAAUAAUAAACACUACCCCACAAGUUGUAAGCUAAGCUUUAGAUUUUUUGCCAUGAGUCCAGCUGCAGUUUAUUUGCGUCCUUUGAAGAGUUGCUCCUCUCCUGUAUCAGUUGAAACCAGACUGUUCAAUUGAAAGCAGAAACUGGCAAAGAGUGUUUAAAAUGACAAUAUUCAAAAAACCCGUUGUGAAUGUUAUUACAUGCAGACAACACAGAGGGAUUGAGUUUGAGGCUCUAGUCAUCAAAUUUAAAAGCUGGAUGGUGAAAUGCAGGGUUUAUGAAAACAGGUGAAGUGUUUUUAGUUAACUGUGUUUAGGUUGACUUCCUGGAUGGUGAUAGAACUGAGGCUUGCAGAGGGACUGGAACUGUGCAUUAACCUUGGAAGAGGAAAAAGAAGAUAUGCGCUGUUGAGACAAUAUUGCAUUCAUAUUUCUGUUUCGCAUAGAAAAAAAAACUUGAGGGCUAAAGCUGGACUUUUGGACAGUUUCCAGUAAACUGCAGGUUCUAUCAAAGGUUCUAUUAGAGUAAAAUGAAUCUCACAGGGAUGAAGUUAGAACUGUGGUUGUGGCGAGAAAACUGUUGAGUUAACUUGAUAAAUGUGUUUUUGUCAGCUACAGCAUGUUGUUUACCUCGAGAUGAAACUCCCUCACACUUCUUUCUUUCACUUCCUGUGGUGUAAGUGUGGCUGUCUAAAUAUUUCACCAACCUUGAAUUUUUCAAGUAUUUCUGGAUGUUUAAAUUGAUUAGACUUCAAAUGAGUCCAGAAGGUUAAAAUUUCUCUGAUUUUAAAAACAGACCCCAGUGUUAGCCGUAGCAUUAGCAGAUUGACAUGCUAACGGUUUUUAAAAUGUGCCUCGGAUCAGGAGCCACAUCGUGCCUUGUGCCUGCCACUGUUUGAGACUGAGGGCAUGCAGAGGAAAAGAAAGAUGGUUUUGUCAUACGUUAGGAGUUGAUACUGUGGGUACUAAAUCGAUUCUUUUCCUUUAGGCUUAUGAAAGUUUUUCAAAAAUGUAAUUUUCUAAAAAUCAGCUCUUGAGUAAGUAGGUGAUAUUUUAGACCAUGUCACAAAUGAUCAGUUAUGUUCUUGACUCUUGAAUUCAAAGCUCUAACGGUCUUUAGUGAUGGUCAUUACAUCAGAUUUAUUUUGAGCCCUUCUCAGACCCUGCUUUUGCAAAUAAGUCAAACAAAAAGUGCCUUGUUUUAUAAGCGCUUCCUCUUUUUAAUUUAAACCCAGCCACGUUUCCUUUUCCUCUCUCAGAACCAGAAACCCUCUUCACAGUCGACACGAGUGUUUACACUGACCAGAUAUCUGGUGUGUGUGUGUGUGGGAUCUCUUAUUUUGACUUCCUCAGUCGACUUUUCAAUCCGCUCGUAGGUUUGUUUGUCUACUUGUGCCUUUCAGUCUUGCACACACACGUUGAACUGGCUGUCUGACUUCAUCUCCUGCUCAGAGUGCUAUAUACCUUUGUCCAUCGAAAUUCUACCUCUUCACCCUACAAACGGCAGGUUCACCAGACAGGCGUACUGCUGCCACCUUCUGGAGACAUGGGGAAAAGCUCACAGCAGCAUUAGAUCUCCUGUAUGUGUGGGUCAGUUUCAGCUCAAUUGAAAAUGAAAUGAAACUCGUCAGCUCGGUGGAAGCUACAGCAAACAUCUAUUUUGGCAGAACUGUUAGCUUUUUAGUUACAAACUAUUUUCUCGUUUGUUUAAUUUGCACUAUAACGUCGUUAGCUCAAUCAGAACCUGUUUUAUUGUCUAAAACCUAUCUCUUUAUUUACCUUUCUGUUGAGUCUUUGAGUUCAGAGGGAAAAACAUUUUACCCAGUGUUGACUCAGAAGUUGUGGAUAUGAAAUUGAACUUUGCUUUUUGGCUGAGGGGAUCAGAAGGUGCUGAUGUUCCUGAUAAACUGUCUGCAUGUUGGGCUCCUCUGACUCUGACCGUAUCCGUCUUCAUCCGCCUCAGAGUGACGGCUGUGGAGGCGGAGCAACUGUAAACUGAUGGGCUUGUGGGGCAUCAGAAAAAUAGUUCCAUUUGCUUUUGUUUCUAAUGUUUCUUUGUCAAGUAAUAUUCUGGGGGGUUGGAGGGGUUUCCCUGAAUUUUGUCUUCAGUGUAAAUAUUUGUUAUUAAAUUCCGAUUUUCUGAAAUCUCAACUUUUCCCUCUGCAUUGAUUGCCGCUGUGUCUCAUUUGGACAGAUGCACCAUUUCUUUCUCCGUUUUAGUUUCGUUCAGCUGCUGAAUCAAUUUCACAUGGAUUCAUGAACACAAAAACAAAAGAUAUUUCUGUCAUUUCAGUACGGUUUAUUUUUAUAAACACAUGAUGUAGUUCCAUUUAGUUAUACUUGUCCCCCAUUAAUUAUCAUUUUUAUUUAUUACAGUUAAUGUUUUCUUAAUUCCAGUUUUUAUUUUGUUAGUUAACUGUGCUAACCUUGGUGAUCAGUAACAUUGAAAUCCUCAUUUUCACCACUGAUUAAUACCUCCAUGCUUUCCUAACUCCUGGUGGGGAGGAGUUACAUAUUUAUUAUGUUCAUUUAUGACGACAUUGAUUUUCAGUUUUCCUACCAGUCAAAGAAAUAUUCUGUGCAAUUUUUUCCCUGUUCAAACUAUUCAAUACAAUUUGAUUAGUUCACCUUAGUUUGAAGCUUUGUCUUCAUCCAUUUUGUCCAAUUAUUAUUAUGAUUGAUUAUCUUUUAUAUUGUUUUUCAGUUAAUUUUGGGUUCAUAGAUCCUGGAGAUAAUAAAUAGAUGUUUGUAAUAUUGUAGAUGUAUAGAAUAUGGCCGGACCAGAAGGACAGAGUGGCAGGUAAUUGCACAUCAAUUAUUUUUAUAUUUAGUUUAUUGGACCAAACGGUACCAGGGUAAUCAGAUGUUACCAAGAAGUUAGAAAGCAGGAAAUAAUACAUUUUUGAAAUUGUGUCGUUUUGGAAAAAGGUUUGAUUUCCGUUAUAGUGUGGUGGCAAAGAUGGUGGGAGGGCCAGGAAAAUGCUUACUGAUAGUUUCUGAAGAAAUGUGUGCUGGGCAGAUUAACAUUUAAAGAUAAUUGCGCAAAUGAGACCGUCAGCUAAAAAUGUCUUCAGAGAAACAAGUCCACUGAAACAAGUCCACUGAAACAAGUCCUUCAGAGGCUCUACUGACUGAUGGAGAAAAUAAAGGUUGGAAGUCAAAUGGUGAGUUAAAGAUUUAUUCCCUGAAACUCUAAAUGCCUCUUCAAUUUUUAGCAACCUUUGAAUUAUGUCAUUGUUUAGAAGGACAUUAAAGAUAAAUGUGAGAAAAUAGAGCAGCUGAAUCACGAGGCCUCCACUUUGCCCUAUUGUCAUUGUACCAAAAUGACUCUGUGUGGAUAUUUACAGUAACAGUAGAAGAAAUUUGGUAGAGUGCGACCUCUAGCAAGUGUAUAGUGAAAUUUAGUAGAAAAUGUGUAUUUCAAAGACAUUUCAAAAUGGCGUUUUAGCUGGUUGGGGGGAUCACUAUCAAACAAAAUACAGCAAAUAAUUGCCUUCUACUUGACUGACCACAGAGCAGGUUCUCUGUCCAGCUUCUGCAGAGGCUUUGUUUUCUGAUGACAUCUUCCAUGAAACUUCCUGCCGCUGUGAAGAGGCUGAGGCUGAGCUCAGCGGCCGCGCCUGGCCUGUCGCUUCCGGUUGCUGAAUACGGAGAUCAUCACGCAGAUCAACCGAUGCGCCGCAUGAAGGAGGCGGAGCUGCAGAGAGGAAGAGACGCUGCAGAGAGAGGAAACCGCAGAGCCGAAACCGAAGCAGCGACCCGGAGUGAAACGGAACCGAGUCGAGCGCAGCUUCGGUGCCGAAAACUGCCCGGAUCUCGUCUGACUGAACUCUUGAGCGAAAUGGAGAAAAAGGAUGGAGCCAGAGCGAUCCCUAGCGCCUGGAGUGUUCCGACCUCCAGUCCACCCAGCUCCGAUGCAGCGGACAGUUCUGCAGGUUCUCAUGUGGAGUGGUGUAAGCAGCUAAUCGCAGCCACCUUAUCCAGUCAGAUCCCAAGAACAGCGCCACCAGAUGUUCUGAACAGGGAUACCAGGGUGUCCAAAAGGCUGAGUUCCUGGAACCGUCCAGCUCUGGGAUUCGGCGCGCUCGUCAAACUUUCACACAACCAAGUGCCUCUUCUGCCAGGAGAAACUGUUCAGAUCACAGUUAAAGAUGUUAUGUAUAUCUGUCCAUUCAGUGGUCUUAUCACUGGCACUCUGACCAUCACUGACUACAAGAUCUACUUUACCAGUUCGAUCAAGGACUCUUCUUUUAUUCUUGAUGUUAACUUGGGAACUAUAAGCAGAUUGGAGAGCAUUACUGUUCCUAACCAAGGAGAUGACACCAAGGGAAUCGAGUUGGUUUGUAAGGACACAAGGAGCGCCAGGUUUACCUACAAACCAGAAGAGAACCAGCCAGACAUUGAAGAGGUUUUGUCCAAACAUGCUUUCCCUCUGUGCUGCAGUCUGCCGUUUUUCGCCUUCAAGUACAAGGAGCAGUUUCCUGUGGACGGAUGGAAGGUCUACGAUCCCACAGCAGAGUACAACCGACAGGGUCUUCCAAAUGAGAGCUGGCGCAUCAGUAAGCUGAACCUCCACUAUGAGCUGUGUGACACCUACCCCUCCAUCCUGGUUCUCCCCAACAACAUGACGGAAGAAGACACAGAACGCGUGGCGUCAUUCAGAGCCAAGCGCCGCCUACCGGUCUUGUCCUGGAUCCACCCGGAGUCUCAGGCCGCUGUGGUGCGCUGCAGCCAGCCGCUGGUCGGCCCUCUGGACAGCCGCUGCAAAGAGGACGAGCGCUUCCUCCAGAUCGUCAUGGACGCCAACGCGCAGUCCCACAAGCUCACCGUCUUCGAUUCUCGACAGACCAGUGAAGCCCUGUCCAGCAAGGCAAAAGACGGAGGAUAUGAAAAUGAAAAUUUCUAUCCCAACAUUGAGCUUAUUUUCCUGGAAAUUCCGAAUAUCCAUGUGAUCCGGGAGUCUCUCAGGAAGAUGAGGGACGUGAUUUAUCCGACUAUUGAUGAGGCCCGCUGGCAUUCUGCCAUCGACCAGACUCACUGGCUGGACUAUCUACGACUGUUACUAUCAGGAGCGGUGAAAAUAGCUGACAAGCUGGAAUCUGGGAAAACAUCCGUAGUGGUCCACUGCAGUGACGGCUGGGACAGAACGGCCCAGCUCACUUCCCUCUCAAUGCUGAUGCUGGACAGCUACUACCGGACGCUCCGAGGAUUCCAGGUUCUGCUGGAAAAGGAGUGGAUCAGCUUCGGACACAGAUUUGCUUCUCGCAUUGGACACGGUGAUAAGAGCCAUACCAAUACAGAGCGCUCACCUCUGUUUGUCCAGUUUAUGGACUGUGUUUGGCAGAUGACCCGACAGUUUCCUUCGGCCUUUGAAUUUAAUGAGCUGUUCCUCAUCACCGUCCUGGAUCAUCUCUACAGCUGCCUCUUUGGCACCUUCCUCUGCAACAGUGAGCAGGAGAAGUCAGCCAAGGAGGUUCAAACCAAGACAGUGUCCCUGUGGUCCUACAUCAACAGCCAGCCCAGUGAAUUCACCAACCCGUUCUACCUGGUCUAUGAGAACUGCGUUCUGUAUCCGCUGCUUUCCUCCAGACACCUGGAGCUGUGGACCAGCUACUACGCCCGCUGGAACCCACGCAUGAGGCCACAGGUGCCAGUGCAUCAGACGCUGAAGGACUUGCUGUUCCUCAGAGCAGAGCUGCAGAGGAGGGUGGAGGAGCUGAACACACACCCAGCACCGGAACACCCGAGCCCUUACACAGGAACCUCACUUCACUCUGCUGUUUGAGACACCGAAGUGUCCUAUCCAAAGUUUUGAGCCAGUAAAUCAAAUAAUAGGAACAACAAUGGUUUCAGUCGAAAAAAUGUUUUUCCUUUUUCUUUUUUCUUCUUCUUUUUUUUUUCUCCUCAAAUAAAAUGUGUAAAUUCAAAUAUCAGAAAGGAUUUUAUUCCAGCGACGGAACUAACGUGACAGUGCAGGCGGCACAAUACGGGGUGUUUGCAGGAAAAUAACAAUCCUGGCGCAUGGCGAGGAAGGGGGUAAAAAAAACGGUUUCCUGGCCAAAACGAGAGACUUGACAGGCAUGCGAGAGCCCAGAGCCUCGGAACGCAGCAAGUAGCGCAAGACAAGAGGCCGGGUUUUACCAGACUAACAUUUUAGACCAAAGAUUAUGUAACAUUUUCUGGGUAUUGUUGAUUUAAACUGUGGUGCUCAGAUCGGGCGUUUAGUGUGACCUACUUGGUAGAUUUAUCACAACAAACCUGCUUUGCUGCAACAUAAGAUUACAUGGUGCAGAAAAUUUGUGAUAAAAGUACAGAAUAGUUUACAGAAUAUCCUUUACACCCAGCUACUGGGGUCCAUCGUUAAAACACUCUAGUCUUUACAAUAGAAUUCAAAUACUUGACAAAUGACAGAUUUAGCAUGCAUAGAUAUUAAUUAUCAUUUAUACAAAAGUGUUGAUGAAUUUGUAAAAUGCACAAUAAUUUUGGUUGUAGGUAAAUUGCUUCCCAAAAGGAAGCUCUUCAACUUCUUCUUUUUUUAAAAACUGACUUCUGUUCAGGUUUUUAACAUCAUUGUCUGAUAAAGACACCAUAACAUUUUCUCUCAGGGUUGGAAUACCCAGUUAAAAUAAACUCAAAGGUAAUUAAAAAUGAUCAGACAGCACAGGGUAAUAGGGAAGUACCAUUAUUUCUUCAUACUUAAUGUCAUAUGUCAGCACAAGCUCUAAAAUACGGCCAUAAUUGUGUAGGACUGAGUCCUUUGAGUAAAGCCAAUUAAAUCUAGUAUUUAGCAUUAAAGUCUACAUAGGCUGUCACCGUAAGUGUUGACAUAAACGUUAAAAGUCCACCUCUAUAAUGAUCGUAUCAGUAUUUACCACUGAAUCGCAUAAACAAAAUCUGAGAUAUGAUCUAAAAAUUGAUGAACUGCUAGAUUAUGGACAUGUUUUUAAGUUCCACGUAAAAGCAAUUUCCAUAUUUAAGCCACACACGUUGUUCGACAUUUCAAUAUUUUCUUCUAUUCCCUUUAGAGAUCACAGUGGAAGCUGAGUCCCUUUAUUAAUUCUUUAUUUUACUAGUUUAUGUUGGAGACAACUGGAGUACAUACAGUAAUAAUUCAAGUAAAAUCAGUUAACUGGCACAUCUUAAGCAGAGUUCAAUAUUGUGAAAAAGUCAUAGUAAAAAAAAGUACAUUUCCUUUAAAUUCUAGGGUUUUAGUACUGAGAUAUUCAUUUUUUAAUUUAGAAAAUUUGGCUUGGUUCCCCUUGGAUUACCUUGAAUAAUUAAAAACCUGGUAAAGUCCACAUUAUGUCAAAACCCUACAACCGACAAAGGAUGUCUUUUUUGUUACAAUGGCUAACAGUUUGACACACAUAGAGAAAAACAUGCAGCAGAGAGUACAAAGGAACAGUCUCAGUUAGAUACAGCAUUAUAACAGCAGAAGUACAAAGCACACAAACAGAUCCAACUACGGUUAAAGUCUCUAACUCAAGCAGCAGCUUUUCACAUUUCUGACCUGGACAUAAUUUUGUUGACAUUCAGAGAAGUGAUACGUUUCAAAUCAUUUGAUUUGCAGAAAGAAGCAUUCAUGUCUAGAACAGGCACUGAAGAGGCAUCACAAGUGAUUUAUUUUUUUUUCUUUUUUGAGUAACAAUUGGUCAAAGCAGGAAGUGAAGGUCACUAAAAGACAUUUCCAGAAU